CCAGAUCUACUCUUCCUUCCAAGUGAACAGCAGAACAGAUCGCGGAAAGAGAAAAAAACACUAUGAAUAAGAAAUGAACUACGGACAGUAAGCAUGCGGUUCUGUCUGCUAUAAAGCAACAGCUACAGGACUGAUCCGGUCAAUGGCCAAAACCAUUCCAUUCCUCAUCAAUCCAGACAUGUCAUCUGAAGCCUGAAGUCCCAUUGCAAAGGCUACAGCACGAAGAACAGCGACUGGCCGUUAUUCCUACCGUGCCUUGAUGGGAGGAGGGGGGGGGAAAUGGCGCAGUCGUCAAAAAGAAAGGAGGAAAAAGAAUGGCCAACCGCUCUUCCCCUUUCCCUCCCACCUCACCCACCCCUGGGAGCCUUUAAUGCCAUCUGUGCCCCCUGAGAAAGCAGAAUAAGCGAGACACUUCCACCCAGUGCCAACGGGGACAAAGAGGCUGCCAGUCCCCGGGCCCCCGCCCCUGCCAGAUGCCAGAGAACUGUACGACAGCGUGUGUGCGCUGAGGAAGCCAUCUUGAUGGGAAAUCUUGCUUGCUGCUCCUAAAAUGGCUGUGUUGGCACACGAGGUCUGGCCAUGGCAGUAGAGAUGUCCAUGAAGAGCCAAGCCUGCCACCCCAGGAAGGUGUGUGCCAACAUGAAUAACAUUACCACCAAGCAAAGGACACUGUGUGUGUGUGUGUGUGUGUGUGUGUGUGUGGCUAUGGCCAUUUCUUAUUUCGGCUGUGAGAAGCAUCUUCUAAAAUGGACUUGGAGAACCCCAAUGGACAAUGUUUUGAAGCACAGAAGUGAAAUAUGAAAUGUGAAAUGACUUCUGAAGGUCUGACCAUCUGCACAAGCUCCAUGGGUGCAGGAGGACGGAAAGGAUCGAUGUUUAUGCUGCACAUUUAUGCUGUCGUUUAAAACUGUGUCCUGUUUUAGAGGAAUUCUCAACCAAAAACAUGCACGGUCUUCCAUGGGAAAAAUGGCAUGAAGCCAGCGCAGCACAAAUAAAUAUUUGGGUGGAGAAAAGUGUUACAGCUAUAUUUACAUUUGUAUGUUUAACUUUCAUUUGUUGCUGCUAGAUACAUCAUUAUAUGUAUAUCCAAUGGAAAGCACAGUUGAAAGGUCUGUCAGCAGUAUUAGUAAAACUUGAACCAUUUUUGUAAGUGUUUAUUGGAGUAUAUAUAACCUUUGGGUGUGAACAAAAAUGUGUUACCAAUGUGUUAUCUAUCUAGGAUCUCAAUGAUUAAUGCAUAUGCCUGUUUAAACCCAAUGUACAACAUGAAUCAAACUGUUUGCGUGUGUGUAUGAGGAAUGCUUUGUUAAAUGUCCUAUAUUUAAAACUGUAUGCAUGAGGAGAUAAUAUGAGAGCACAUGACAUGUGCUGCUGUGUUUGGAUUGGCUUGCUCUCCGGAGCUUGGCGUGGCCAGCAGAUGAACAACACAGAAGAAAGUGCCUUAAUGUGUACGGUGUUUACAUUAAAACUUUUAGCUUUGAUAUCUUUGAUAGAAUUAUAUUUGCUUCUGAAAAUUGAACUGGCUGCUUUCGACAAAUAAAUGUGUGCAAUUCUU